AAGCGGUCGGGGUAGUGGUAGCCUCCUGACGAGAGCUUUUGCAGGCUCGAAACCGCUG
rnacentral:hammerhead_ribozyme from 15 species